GCCACAUCGCCAGACACUCGACAUUGUUGCUUCCCGCUGCUCGCCAAGCACCACACGAGCGUGUUUGUCAUUCACUAUCGCAGAUUUGACUGACUGACAAACUGACUGGCUGUUCCAUAGCCUUGUGCCUUUUCAGCGGCAACCGGGAGCACGCAGUCCGACAACACCUCCACAGGGACGCGCAGCUGACACAGUUUCCAAACAAGGUAAGGAGAUGAUGCUGUUGACCGAGUCGACGUUCCCGCUGUUGUGCGGCUGGUGUAUCUGGACACUUCUCUCUCUGUGUUACGGGCUCGAGUUCCGCUAUCAUAACUCAGCCGAAGUGGAGAGGUAUCUGAAAGAAGUUACAAGGAACUAUCCCAACAUCACGCACCGCUACAGCAUCGGCAAAUCCGUUGAAGGGAGGCAUCUGUGGGUCCUCGUGCUGGGAAAGUAUCCAAAAGAGCACAAAGUGGGGAUUCCGGAGUUUAAGUAUGUGGGGAACAUGC